CCUUUAAUUCUGGUCCUCGAAACUCAGAAAGAAGUCAUCUCUUCAUGGGCUUCUCCUUUAGUUUUAGGAAACGACCAGUCUCCAGUGUAGGUGGAAUCUGCCGGCCCUUCCUCCUGCACACCAGUUC